rnacentral:misc_RNA from 1 species
UGGAUCAAUAAGAGGAUG